rnacentral:rRNA from 1 species
GCGAAAACUUUACAAUGCUGGCAACAGCGAUAAGGGAACCUCGAGUGCCAGGUUACAAAUCUGGCUGUCGAGAUGCCUAAAAAGCAUUUCAUAGCAAGGGCCGGGCAAGACCGGUGCCAGCCGCCGCGGUAACACCGGCGGCUCGAGUGGUAACCGUUAUUAUUGGGUCUAAAGGGUCUGUAGCCGGCCGGAUAAGUCUCUUGAGAAAUCUGGCAGCUUAACUGUCAGGCUUUCAGGAGAUACUGUCUGGCUCGAGGCCGGGAGAGGUGAGAGGUACUUCAGUGGUAGGGGUGAAAUCUUUUAAUCCUUGAACGACCACCAGUCGCGAAUGCGUCUCGCCAGAACGGACCUGACGGCAAGGGACGAAAGCUAGUUGCACGAACC